rnacentral:rRNA from 1 species
CUGCGGAAGGAUCAUUACUGA